rnacentral:tRNA from 1 species
GGAAAUGUGCCUGAACUUAAGGAUCACUAUGAUAAAGUGAACAUAGAGGUUGCAAUCCUCUCAUUUCCU